AAUACGUUCCCGGGCCUUGUACACACCGCCCGUCACACCAUGGGAGUUGGUUCUACCCGAAGACGGUUUCCCAACCGCAAGGAGGGGGCCGGCCACGGUAGGGUCAGCGACUGGGGUG
rnacentral:rRNA from 1 species